rnacentral:rRNA from 1 species
GACGAACGCUGGCGGCGUGCUUAACACAUGCAAGUCGAACGAUGAUCCGGGUGCUUGCACCUGGGGAUUAGUGGCGAACGGGUGAGUAACACGUGAGUAACCUGCCCUGGACUCUGGGAUCACCCCGAGAAAUCGGAGCUAAUACCGGAUAGGACCUUUCCUCGCAGGAGGCGCGGGGGCACGCUCUUGCGGUUUGGGAUGGACUCGCGGCCGAUCAGCUGGUUGGUGAGGUAAUGGCUCACCAAGGCGUCGACGGGUAGCCGGCCUGCGAGGGUGACCGGCCACACUGGGACUGAGACACGGCCCAGACUCCUACGGGAGGCAGCAGUGGGGAAUAUUGCACAAUGGGCGCAAGCCUGAUGCAGCAACGCCGCGUGCGGGAUGACGGCCUUCGGGUUGUAAACCGCUUUUAGUAGGGAAGAAGCCUCUUGGGGUGACGGUACCUGCAGAAAAAGGACCGGCUAACUACGUGCCAGCAGCCGCAGUAAAAC